GGAGAUGUGGCUCAGUGGUAGAGCGCUCACCUAGCAUGUGUGGGGCCCUGAGUUUGAUCCUCACCAACACAU
rnacentral:tRNA from 1 species